UGUUGUAAGAUUAUUUGCUCAUCUACUACCUAAUUAGAUGUUCCAUCACAUCAGAUUUAAGACCAUUCAUCUUUCAAAAAUAUAACAUUGAGAUUAUUAGUUUAAAAGAAUUUGCCUCUGGUAUUUUCAUUUGUGCGAGUAAUUCCUUGGCUCUUUGCUAAUGCAGAACCUCGUUGCUAAACUUGGAGUUCAGAGGAUCACAGGCAUUGCCAUUUUCAACACAAGAGAGGAACAAACAUACGACCCUUUGCCAGAUUUGGAGAUUUUUGUAAGGACCAAGCCAACCAUCUACAGGCCUUGAAAGGCAGUUCUUUAUAGUUUCCAAAUCUUGUGAUUGCAUCUGAUUUCUCUUCAUACUAUAAAAGCGUUUCUGUGCAUCAUUUCCAACUAUAAAGAAGUGAAGGAAAGGCUCUGCACACGAUAUGAAACAACUGAGAAAGAAAGAAAGGAGUCUGAUAUCUGAGCAUGAGAAAGCUUGUACUGAUAAAAUUGCUAAACUGGAAGAGUCCUUGAAAAAGAAGAAGCAGGAUGACAGAACUUGCAGUGAGUACUUCAGACGCGGACAUCUGAGAAAGACUCUUGGCUCAUUUCUGGGGAGUACUUCAGACGAGGACAUCCCGCCUGAUGAUCGAAUCAACAUUCUACUGUUUGAGCUCAAGUCGAGCGGCUAGACUCUGUUUUAAAAGAAAUAUUACAGCCGGUCGGCUAUAUCGGUUUUUUCAAUUUUUUAAAGAAAUAGUAUCGCC